rnacentral:rRNA from 1 species
ACGGCUGCUAAUACCCCAUAUGCCGCGAGGUGAAAUGAAUUUCGCCUGAGGAUGAGCUCGCGUCUGAUUAGCUAGUUGGUGUAGGUAAUGGCUCACCAAGGCAUCGAUCAGUAGCUGGUCUGAGAGGAUGAUCAGCCACACUGGGACUGAGACACGGCCCAGACUCCUACGGGAGGCAGCAGUGGGGAAUUUUCCGCAAUGGGCGAAAGCCUGACGGAGCAACGCCGCGUGAGGGAUGAAGGCCUCUGGGCUGUAAACCUCUUUUAUCAAGGAAGAAGAUCUGACGGUACUUGAUGAAUAAGCCACGGCUAAUUCCGUGCCAGCAGCCGCGGUAAUACGGGAGUGGCAAGCGUUAUCCGGAAUUAUUGGGCGUAAAGCGUCCGCAGGCGGCCCUUCAAGUCUGCUGUUAAAAAGUGGAGCUUAACUCCAUCAUGGCAGUGGAAACUGUUGGGCUUGAGUGUGGUANGGGCAGAGGGAAUUCCCGGUG